rnacentral:lncRNA from 1 species
GAACUGCGACAAAAUUCGUGGAAGGGGUUGAAUUUUUGUGAGUGGGAGGGAGUGGAGUGCCACAAUUCCUCUUUUAUGUUGUGAGUCUCAUAGCAGAUGCAUACGCAUUCAAUAUCGAUGCGCAACCACACUUCGUAUUUUCAGGAUUAUGGAAGGAACUGCUACAAAACUAGGUUUACGAGCAGUAAGAACAUCGAGGUUUUAGAGAGAAACCACCAGUUUAAGAACAAGAUUCUUGCAAACAAGGUUCGUUCUACUCCUCAUUAAGGUUCCUAUUUGUUCUUCUUCUUUGUAAAUUUUUAAUGGGGUUUUUCUCUAUAAUUUGCAGGUUUCAAAGCUUGAGGUUCUAGAGAGAGAAACAUGACCUUUUUCAUUUUUUGGGUGUUUCUCUAUAAAAUCAGCAAAAAGACUGUGGUUCAAUGGGGGUUUUCUCUGUAAUUUGCAGGUUUCAAAGAUUGUGGUUCUAGAGAGAAACAUGGCCCUUUUUUAUUUUUUUGGGUUUUUCUCUGUAAAGUCAGCAAGAAAAUGAAUGUUUUUUUGGUUCCGUUUUAUUUGUUUUUCAAAAAAUCACGUUUUCUACGGUAUUAUGAAAAAUAUGCUAUUUUUGAUGAAUUUUUCAAAAAAACUCUAUUUUAAACGUCUUUCAAAAAAGUUCCGCUUUUUUUAAAGAGCAAUAAUUAAUCGCCGAUUUACUAACUAUGGUAUAGAGCUUGCUCUAAACAAUCAAAUUAGAGCUUACCUUCAAAUAGUAUCGAGAGAUGUGGUUUCACUAUGGGAAAUGUUUGUGAUAGCCUUAAAAUAUGUUUUCAUAUUUAUUUAUAAAGUUUAAAGUUUAAAAAAUAGUACAGAUUGACGGAUCUAUGAAAUCUUGAAAAUUGAUGAUCAAAAAAUAUGUAACAAAAUACACUAUUUUCAAAACUUGAAAUCCAAUUUUUUCUCUUGUCCGCAUCUUGAUGUCGAGAUGAUCAAUUUGAAGAUCUUUGGGCAUCAAAACAACAUCUUCUAAUGGAAUUUUUGAGGUAGGCUCAAAUUUGAUUGUUUAGAGCCUCGGCUCUAUAUAAACUUGUCCCUAUUUUUAUUUGGUUUUUUUUUUUUUUUGGUGAAAGAUAAAAGAGAUGGCCUUAAAGGCGUGCUCCUCUUUCUUUUUCUUUUACUUUUUUUUUUUUAUAGCAAAAUGGAUUUUUCCUUUCUACAAAAAAAAAUGCCAAAUUAUGUCGAUUUAAAACUUGAUAAUUAAAAAUCGCCUUAGACAGGCUAGCUGAUUAGGUCAUUGUUCGCAAAAUCGCUCGAUCGCACCGCUAACCCCCUGGUUAGAUCGGAACCGGCCAAUUGCCAGUUUCGAUUUUGGGCAGUUAGGGUGAUCAACGGAUAUUUUAAAAAAAAAAAAUUCCAAAAAAUGUAUAUAAAUUCUCAAAAAUAAAGAAUUUAUUUUGC